ensembl:lncRNA
AUGUCAGCAUCCGUGAUCCGAAGAGGACUUGAAUUAUUCAGCGAGAAAGAUGGAGUGAAGCGUAAGCAGAAGAAGAGCAGCUCUCGUAAGUCCGCGCUGAUGGAGCAGAUCAGCACCGAUAAACAGGGCGUUCAGAGGCGGAUCCGGCGGCUGCAGCGACCCGGAGGAUCAGCGCGGAGCACAAACACGGUCAAAGACAAGCACAUCCGGUCAGCGCUGGGUGAGUCGGACCUCCUCAGACCUGCUCAAAACUACUUAAAACAUAUUCAAACCUCCUUAAACAUGCUCAAAACUACUUAAAACAUAUGUAAACCUACUUAAAACCUUCUCAGAACUUUUCAAACCUGCUCAGGCUUCCUCAAAACAAACCAGACCUGCUCAAGCCAACAUAAAAACCUGCUCAAACCUCAUAAAAACUGCUUCAGCCUACUUCAACCCCGCUCAAAACUGUUCAGACCCACUUAGAACCUACUCAGACGUUCUCAAGACUCCUUAGACCUGCUUAGACCUCUUCAAAACUGCUCAAACCUACUUAGAACCUGCUCAAACUUCUUUAAAACUCCUCAGACCUGCUCAAAACUCCCCACAUUUCCACAAACCUGCUUAAACCUACUUAAAAUCUGCUCAAAACUCCCCAAAGCUCCUCAAACCUACUUAAAACCUGCUCUUAAUUCCCCAAAGCUCCUCAAACCAGCUUAAACCUACAUAAAACCUGCUCAAACCUCCCCAAACCUCCUCAAACCUGCUUAAACCUACUUAAAACCUGCUCAAAAUGCCCCAAACCUGCUUAAACCUAUUUAAAAACCUGCUCAAAAUGCCCCAAACCUCCUCAAACCUGCUUAGACCUACUUAAAACCUGCUCAAAACGCCCCAAACCUCAGCAAACCUGCUUAAACCUACUUAAAACCUGCUCAAAACGCCCCAAACCUCCGCAAACCUGCUCAAACUUGCUUAAACCUACUUAAAACCUGCUCAAAAUGCCUCAAACCUGCUUAAACCUACUUAAAACCUGCUCAAAACGCCCCAAACCUCCGCAAACCUGCUUAAACCUCCCCAAAGCUGCUUAAACCUACAUAAAACCUGCUCAAAAUGCCCCAAACCUGCUUAAACCUACUUAAAACCAGCUCAAAAUGCCCCAAACCUCCACAAACCUGCUAAAACAUCCCCAAACCUGCUUAAACCUACUUAAAAACCUGCUCAAAACGCCCCAUACCUCCGCAAACCUGCUUAAACCUCCCCAAACCUGCUUCAAAACACCCCAA